rnacentral:rRNA from 1 species
ACACGGGACUGCCGGUCUUAAGACCGGAGGAAGGUGGGGAUGAUGUCAAGUCAGCAUGGCCUUUAUAUCCUGGGCUACACACACGCUACAAUGGCCAACACAAUAGGUUGCUAAGCCGCGAGGUGGCGCCAAUCCAUAAAGUUGGUCUCAGUUCAGAUUGUAGGCUGCAACCCGCCUGCAUGAAGAUGGAGUUGCUAGUAACCGCAGGUCAGCUAUACUGCGGUGAAUACGUUCCCGGGGCUU